rnacentral:lncRNA from 1 species
AUGGCAGAUCGUUAUUAUUAUCAUAAACAACCUAGUUAUAAAAUUGGAAAUAAAAAGAAAAGAAAAAAUAUGUUUCGUAUCAAAGCUGACAGUAAUAUUGAUAAGGAUGUUGUUAACACAAGUAAUAAUAAAACUGACAUGGAAAAUAAAGAUAUGUACCAUAUCGAUCAUAAAAAUGUUGAUAAAAAUAAUAAAAUUACAACUCCUAGUAUGGACACUAAUAAUAACAAAAUUUCAAAUGGGACUCAAUCUAGUACGACUUCUUUAAAAAACAAUAAAACAACAAAACAGAAAACAACUGAUGACCGUUUUUUACUUAAGUUAAAAAAUGAUACGAAAGAAAAAAUCAAUGAACAACUUUUUAAUAAUAAUAAUAAAACCGGAAAUAUAAAAGAUAAAAAGAAUGUUAUUUCAUUUGAUGAAACAAGAAAACAAAUAAGAUCACAUAUAAAAAUAAAAAAUAAUUUUAAUUUUUCAUUAAAAAAAGAGUUAAUAGAUACAUUAUUAUUAAGAUAUAAACUUAAUCAAAAUAUUAUACCUACAUAUACAUCUAAUAAAGAAUAUAUGAAUAAAAAGUUAUUUAAAUUCUUAUUUUUAAAAAAAGAUAAUUUAAAAAUGGAUAUGGAGUGUUUUAAUGGAGAAUAUUCAUAUCAAAUAUGGCCUUUUUAUUUAUUAUUCCCACGUAAACAAAAUUUAAAUAUUUUUCUUAUUAAUUACCAUUCACCUCUAUAUCCUGAAGGGAAUUAUUAUACCAAGAUGAAAUCCAUGAAAGAGAAAAAAAAAAAAAAAAAAAAAGAGAAAGGGGAGAUCCUUGACAAUGCUCUCGUUUGUACUAAUAACAAUGUCAAUAAUAAAGAAAAGGAAGUUAAUAGAUCUAAUGAAAAUCAAAUUACUAACACUGGGAAUGACGAUAUUGAUAUUAACAACAGUAGGAAUGAUAACAAAGAAACUAACAGUAGUGUAUUUUUUGAUUAUUUAAAACCAUUUAACUAUAUUUUUAAUGUAUUUGAUGAAAUAAUAAAAGAAAAAAAAAUCGAAAAGGAAAAAAAUUUUUAUUAUACGGAUAGAAUGACAUUAAAUGAAUUAUCCAGAUUUUUAUAUAAAACAUUAAAAAGUGUAAAUAUAGGAGUAGCAAAUGAUGUAGUAUUUGUAUCUCAUUCUAUGGGAGCUAUAUUAACACAAGAUGUUUUGUCAAAAAAUGAUAAUCUUUUAAAUAAAACGAAAUAUUUUUUUGUUAUGCAGCUCCACACUUUGGAUCUACUUUAG